rnacentral:rRNA from 1 species
AUUGAACGCUGGCGGCAUGCCUUACACAUGCAAGUCGAACGGCAGCACGGGUGCUUGCACCUGGUGGCGAGUGGCGAACGGGUGAGUAAUACAUCGGAACAUGUCCUGUAGUGGGGGAUAGCCCGGCGAAAGCCGGAUUAAUACCGCAUACGAUCUACGGAUGAAAGCGGGGGACCUUCGAGCCUCGCGCUAUAGGGUUGGCCGAUGGCUGAUUAGCUAGUUGGUGGGGUAAAGGCCUACCAAGGCGACGAUCAGUAGCUGGUCUGAGAGGACGACCAGCCACACUGGGACUGAGACACGGCCCAGACUCCUACGGGAGGCAGCAGUGGGGAAUUUUGGACAAUGGGCGAAAGCCUGAUCCAGCAAUGCCGCGUGUGUGAAGAAGGCCUUCGGGUUGUAAAGCACUUUUGUCCGGAAAGAAAUCCUUGGCCCUAAUACGGUCGGGGGAUGACGGUACCGGAAGAAUAAGCACCGGCUAACUACGUG